rnacentral:rRNA from 1 species
AUGAACGCUGGCGGCGUGCCUAAUACAUGCAAGUCGAGCGAACAGAUGAGGAGCUUGCUCCUCUGACGUUAGCGGCGGACGGGUGAGUAACACGUGGAUAACCUACCUAUAAGACUGGGAUAACUUCGGGAAACCAGAGCUAAUACCGGAUAAUAUAUUGAACCGCAUGGUUCAAUAGUGAAAGACGGUUUUGCUGUCACUUAUAGAUGGAUCCGCGCCGCAUUAGCUAGUUGGUAAGGUAACGGCUUACCAAGGCAACGAUGCGUAGCCGACCUGAGAGGGUGAUCGGCCACACUGGAACUGAGACACGGUCCAGACUCCUACGGGAGGCAGCAGUAGGGAAUCUUCCGCAAUGGGCGAUAGCCUGACGGAGCAACGCCGCGUGAGUGAUGAAGGUCUUCGGAUCGUAAAACUCUGUUAUUAGGGAAGAACAAAUGUGUAAGUAACUAUGCACGUCUUGACGGUACCUAAUCAGAAAGCCACGGCUAACUACGU